GGAGUUAGGAAAUGUAAGUGUGCUAAUAUCGUGCUUAUUUGACAAAGGCUCCAAAGGAAGCCACGGCUAACUCUAUGCCAGCAGCCGCGGUAAUACAGAGGUGGCGAGCGUUGUUCGGAAUUAUUGGGCGUAAAGAGCACGUAGGUGGGUUUGCAAGUCAGACGUGAAAGCCUUCUGUUCAACGGAAGAAUUGCAUCUGAAACUGCUAAUCUUGAGUAUAGGAGGGGAGAGUGGAACUUCUG
rnacentral:rRNA from 1 species